AGUUCAUGCCCGAAAGGGUAGACCUCCCACCCUUGUGUAUUAUUACUUUGUUGCUUUGGCGAGCUGCCUUUGGGCCUUGUAUGCUCGCCAGAGAAUACCAAAACUCUUUUUAUUAAUGUCGUCUGAGUACUAUAUAAUAGUUAAAACUUUCAACAACGGAUCUCUUGGUUCUGGCAUCGAUGAAGAACGCAGCGAAAUGCGAUAAGUAAUGUGAAUUGCAGAAUUCAGUGAAUCAUCGAAUCUUUGAACGCACAUUGCGCCCCUUGGUAUUCCGGGGGGCAUGCCUGUUCGAGCGUCAUUUCAACCCUCAAGCUUAGCUUGGUAUUGAGUCUAUGUCAGUAAUGGCAGGCUCUAAAAUCAGUGGCGGCGCCGCUGGGUCCUGAACGUAGUAAUAUCUCUCGUUACAGGUUCUCGGUGUGCUUCUGCCAAAACCCAAAUUUUUCUAUGGUUGACCUCGGAUCAGGUAGGGAUACCCGCUGAACUU
rnacentral:rRNA from 2 species